rnacentral:rRNA from 1 species
GACGAACGCUGGCGGCGUGCUUAACACAUGCAAGUCGAACGGAAAGGCCCUGCUUUUGUGGGGUUCUCGAGUGGCGAACGUGUGAGUAACACGUGAGUAACCUGCCCUUUACUUUGGGAUAACUUCAGGAAACUUGGGCUAAUACCGGAUAGGAGCUCCUGCUGCUUUGUGGGGUUUGUAAUGUUUCGGCGGUUGGGGAUUGACUCGCGGGUUAUCAGCUUGUUGGUGGGGUAGUGGCUUACCAAGGCUUUGACGGGUAGCAGGCAUGAGAGGGUGACCGGAGAAAUGGGGACUGAGAUAGGGCGAAGAAUAAAACGGGAGGCAGGAGUGGGGAAAAGUGAACAAUGGGAGGAAGGCGGAAGAAGAAAAGAGGGGAGCGGGAAGAAGGCCUUGGGGUUGAAAAAAGAUUUAGAAUGAGAAGAAGAGGGAGUGACGGUAAUGGGUAAAGAAGCAAAGGAUAACUACGUG